ACUAUAUUAGCAUAUUCAAUGCUUUAAGUUUAGAACUUAAUCAAGUAGCACUAAUACUACAUUUAGUA
rnacentral:tRNA from 2 species